rnacentral:rRNA from 1 species
GCCACUGGAAACGGUGAGUAAUACCCUAUGUGCCCUUCGGGGGAAAGAUUUAUCGCCUUUGGAUCGGCCCGCGUUAGAUUAGAUAGUUGGUGGGGUAACGGCCUACCAAGUCUACGAUCUAUAGCUGGUUUUAGAGGAUGAUCAGCAACACUGGGACUGAGACACGGCCCAGACUCCUACGGGAGGCAGCAGUGGGGAAUCUUGGACAAUGGGGGCAACCCUGAUCCAGCCAUGCCGCGUGAGUGAUGAAGGCCUUAGGGUCGUAAAGCUCUUUCGCCUGUGAAGAUAAUGACUGUAGCAGGUAAAGAAACCCCGGCUAACUCCGUGCCAGCAGCCGCGGUAAUACGGAGGGGGUUAGCGUUGUUCGGAAUUACUGGGCGUAAAGCGCGCGUAGGCGGACUGGAAAGUUGGGGGUGAAAUCCCAGGGCUCAACCCUGGAACUGCCUCCAAAACUAUCAGUCUAGAGUUCGAGAGAGGUGAGUGGAAUUCCGAGUGUAGGGGUGAAAUUCGUAGAUAUUCGGAGGAACACCAGUG